CCUGACUAUAUGUUUCUUCUUCAAGCUUCUACUUCGUAUAAUUCUGCCUUUUGAAUGUACUCUCUGAUAUAUUGCCUAUUUCUUCUUUCACAUACCCUAAACAUUAAGCCAGAACUUGUUAACUGCAAUUGAAUUUAUUUUGGAUUUUAUUUAUCUUCGCCCAGGAAUUUGCAAGAUUUCUUCGUGUUCUUGGCUGCUAUCCAACAGAUGCAACUCUUUAGGUGGUCACUGAACCUGCAAUGAAGAGAUUAUGAUUUAGCUUUUAUCACCGUACAUAUGCAUGCUUCUGAUAAAUCUGGAGGAAGAGAGAUAACUGGGAUAUGGUGAAGACAUGUUGAAGAGAGAUUACUGGGAUAUGGUGAAGACAUGUUGAUGAGAUGUUUGUUUCUCUUCGGCAUGAUCUCUCUUUCCAUUUUCAAUUUUCUCUUCUCCGUCGCCCCCCUCCCCC
rnacentral:lncRNA from 1 species